rnacentral:misc_RNA from 1 species
AAGUCGUAACAAGGUAUCCGUUGGUGAACCAGCGGAUGGAUCAUUACCUGACGAAUUUGUGCCAAUAAUUUGGUGGGGCUGACUGUUGGUUGGCCUCUGGUGUGGCUGGUGAACCAGCCUGCCAGUGCUUGUGGUGUGCAGUGACGUGAGGUUGGUGUUGAGGCCGACGAGUCGCACGCUUGAUGAGUGAAGGGGUUGCUGGAACGGACAACCAACACUGGUGUCCAGGCGAGAUGCCUCCUCAACCGCUGAGACUGCCAUAGACUUGACCGAAGCGAUUGUCUGUAAAGAUGACAACUGCUGGCCGUGGAUCACUUGGCUGACG